GGUCUGUACCUUGCGGAUGGUGGAGGCGCGCAAGCUGUCGCCCACCUGCACUAAAUUUCUUCGGAGACACAGCGAACACCGACCCCUUCGCGGUUCCAGCUGCCAGCACGGAGCUUGGGACCGGCGAAUAAGGGCGCAUGCGCCGCUCUGCCCCGCCUCUCGGCGCAUGUUAGCCCGCGCCCCACCUCCCGGCGCACGUUAACCCGCGCCCCGCCUCCGGCGCACGCGCGUUACGUCCUUAACGGAGGGGGUGGGGCGGUAGUUUGAGCGCGCCGAGAAGGACUUGGAACGGAUGAACUCCAAGGUGCGCAAUAUUUUUGGUGGCAAUUUUUGCUGAACUUGAACUUCCUAAGUUUUUUCUUCCAUCCCUAUUUGUGAAGACUCCAGGGAGUGAGUGCAAAUAUUUGUUUUUUAGCUGGAUGCGAUUGCCACCCUGCACCUCUUCUCCCUGGGUAAAUUCAAAAUUUAUAUAAAAGUUAAAGGAGCUCUCAGAAGUGCAAGUUUGUCCCCAAAGAUCCAUACGGUUUUCGGAUUUGUUCUGCUUUAUCUGCAUCGAGACGCUACAAGCCUGUCUGAGCUGGUAUCUCCAGAAGCGGAUGCCAAGAACUACUGGUCACGUUCUGUCUGUGCUCUGAGCAACGUGCCCAGCUGUUUUCUGCGCUUAAAUUACCGUGUCUGCUCGAUCUAAUUAACCCAGAUGUUAAAACACUGGUCCAAGAGAGCGAAGAAACUAUGUGUGGAAUUUACCCCUGGGCGGACUUCUCAGUUGCCUGACCUGAUGUCCUGGGAAUCCCAGAAUCCAAAGCUUGCAAUCUUUGCUUUCCAUAGCUCAGUAGCCUGUGAAAUGUUCAGGGUGGGGGUUGGGUCGCAAUAGUUUAAGGCCAGAGCUUAGCUGCCAAAGCUAAGCUAAAAGGUGAGGCAAUAAAAUGAUCUAAUAUGAAA